CAACUACUUACGGCUAACUUGAAAUUAACAAGCACCAGUAAUAGCUUGGGAGAAAAUGGAUGAUUUCUUGGUCCAGGAACCCCAAAAAAACCCCAGCCUUUUCAACUACUCGUGUCCAGUUACAAUAACCUCCUGAUCGGUUCGCAUUUUAGAGCUGUUGAAACAUGGCUUUCGGCAGAAAGAGAUAGAAGGAUCGUUCAUCUUGUAAAGCAGAAGGAAGCCGUUUCAUCAAGCAAGGCCGUGACGACAUUCCGGAAAGCAAGAAGCCUUGGAUUCCAAAAAGUUUAUGAGCAAAAUUGGAAAUGUUUUGUCAAAGCCAGCAACUCUUAAGGUUCCAAAUGGGAACUUGGGGAGAACAGAGUUGUUGAAGUGUGAUAAUGGCAUCGUUUAUAUUUCAGAAUGGCUGGGAAGAUUUUGUGGAUUUGUACUCUCUUAAUCUUAAGAAGAGAGAUCUGCUAGUUUUUGAAUACAAGGGAAAUUCCAAGUUCUCUGUAAUCUGUAUUUAUGUGUAAAGAAAUGGACUGCCCAGCUGGUGAUACUGAUUCAGCAUGCUGUGAACGAGUUGGACGCUUUGAGGAAGGUAUGGAAGAUGGAGACUAACUUGAAUUCUUGGCUAAAUUUUCAAAAGAAAAAUCAAAAGUAUCCCUUUCAGUGUCCAA